CGGGCGGCCGUGACCCUGCUGGAGUGCGGGGGGGACCUCCAGCCCCCCGGGGGGUCCCUGCGCCUCCUCUGCCGAGGGUCCGGGUUCAGUUUUGGGAAUUAUGGAAUGCACUGGGUGCGCCAGAGACCCGGGCAGGUCCUGGAAUGGGUCGCGGGCAUUGACAGCAAUGGAUACACCAGAUACCCGUCUGCGUUCAGGGGCCGGGUCACGAUCUCCAGGGACAACGGGCAGAGCUCGGUGACGCUGACCAUGAACAACCUCAAGGACGAGGAUUCCGGAUCCUAUUUCUGUGCCAAGGAUGCUGAUGCUGCUGCUGCCCUUGACCCCAUUCUUGACCGUUUGUCCAAAAUCCCCCCCAUUUCCACCCAUGGCGACCAAAGGCCCCAAACCCCGACUGGUUCUGCCCCAAACCCAACUGAAUUGGUGCCAUAA